rnacentral:rRNA from 1 species
GAUGAACGCUGGCGGCGUGCCUAAUACAUGCAAGUCGAACGCUUCACUUCGGUGAAGAGUGGCGAACGGGUGAGUAAUACAUAAGUAACCUGGCAUCUACAGGGGGAUAACUGAUGGAAACGUCAGCUAAGACCGCAUAGGUGUAGAGAUCGCAUGAACUCUAUAUGAAAAGUGCUACGGGACUGGUAGAUGAUGGACUUAUGGCGCAUUAGCUGGUUGGUAGGGUAACGGCCUACCAAGGCGACGAUGCGUAGCCGACCUGAGAGGGUGACCGGCCACACUGGGACUGAGACACGGCCCAGACUCCUACGGGAGGCAGCAGUAGGGAAUUUUCGGCAAUGGGGGAAACCCUGACCGAGCAACGCCGCGUGAAGGAAGAAGUAAUUCGUUAUGUAAACUUCUGUCAUAGAGGAAGAACGGUGGAUAUAGGGAAUGAUAUCCAAGUGACG